CCCUCAUCAGCGAGGACUGGGUGGUCACCGCCGCCCACUGCGGGGUCAGGUGAGGACCAGGCAGCCCCGGGCUCCGCUUCCAGCCCCGGUCGGGUGGGAGGGGAGCAGGGCAUGUUCUCUCACUCACAACGCUCUGCCCAGGACCUCCGACGUUGUCGUGGCCGGGGAGUUUGACCAGGGCUCUGACAAAGAGAACAUCCAGGUCCUGAAGAUCGCCAAGGUCUUCAAGAACCCCAAGUUCAGCAUUCUGACCGUGAACAAUGACAUCACCCUGCUGAAGCUGGCCACACCUGCCCGCUUCUCCCAGACGGUGUCCGCCGUGUGCCUGCCCAGUGCCGACGACGACUUCCCCGCGGGGACACUGUGUGCCACCACAGGCUGGGGCAAGACCAAGUACAACGCCAACAAGACCCCCGAUAAGCUGCAGCAGGCGACCCUGCCCCUCCUGUCCAAUGCCGAAUGCAAGAAGUUCUGGGGCAGAAAGAUCACCGACGUGAUGAUCUGUGCCGGGGCCAGUGGCGUCUCCUCCUGUAUG
rnacentral:sRNA from 1 species